rnacentral:rRNA from 1 species
GCUCAGUAACACGUGGAUAAUCUGCCCUUAGGUGGAGGAUAACCUCGGGAAACUGAGAAUAAUACUCCAUAGAUCUAGGAUGCUGGAAUGCACUUAGAUCAAAAGCUCCGGCGCCUAAGGAUGAGUCUGCGGACUAUCAGGUUGUAGUCAGGGUAAUGACCUGACUAGCCUACGACGGAUAUGGGUUGUGAGAGCAAUAACCCAGAGAUGAUAUCUGAGACACGAUAUCAGGCCCUACGGGGCGCAGCAGGCGCGAAAACUUCACAAUGUGCGAAAGCGCGAUGAGGGAAUCCCAAGUGCUUGCACGUAAGUGUAAGCUGUUUCUUUGUUUAAAAUGCAUUGAGAGUAAGGGCUGGGUAAGACGGGUGCCAACCGCCGCGGUAAUACCUGCAGCUCAAGUGGUAGCCGCUAUUAUUGGGCCUAAAACGUUCGUAGCCGGUUUAAUAAAUGCCUGGGUAAAUCGUAUGGCUCAACUAUACGACUUCCGGGUAGACUG